GUCCUCCAAACGCGACCACCUCCAAUCGAUGACCUUCAACCAUCCUAGCCACCAGCCUCCUCCAAUCGACGACCUUCAGCCACACCAGUCACCGCUUUCCUCCUCCAUUCGAUGACCAUUAGCCACCGGCCUCCUCCACAGGUGCAUCAUUAGGCUACUCGGUGUGGAGGAGGCAAGUCCUUGGAGGAUGUCCCUUCACGUCAACAUCCAAGGAGGAUGUCACUCCAAAGAUGGACCAAGGGAAAUGGAGGAUGUGCCUAAAUAUAUAAUAUGUGUAUGUGAGAAGGGGGAGGCCCGGCUUGAACGGCUGUAGGAAGAUGGAGACAACGCCGACGGUCUAAGGGAAAUGGUGUUCCGGGGCGGUGCCGCCCCACGACGGCCCGGGGACACCCCCCACACCGAACAGCCUUAUAUGCAAAGAACUUGGUGGUCAUAUAAGAACUUAUAAUCUAGAAGAAGCUCUUAGAUGAAUCUCGACAAGCAUUAGACCUGUUUAACUAAAAUAGGCUCAAAGUAUGUAAAUACAUACCCAAAUUUUAAUAAACGUUGAACU
rnacentral:lncRNA from 1 species